ACAUAGCAAGUCGAACGCGAAAGGGGAACUUCGGUCCUGAGUAAAGUGGCGCACGGGUGAGUAACGCGUAGAUAACCUGUCUUCAUGUCUGGAAUAAUACGCCGAAAGGGGUACUAAUACCGGAUAUCUUGCUUUUCAUAAGUUAUGCAAGCAAAGGUGGCCUCUGCAUAUGCUACUGCAUGAAGAGGGGUCUGCGUACCAUUAGCUAGUAGGUGGGGUAAUGGCCUACCUAGGCGACGAUGGUUAGCGGGUCUGAGAGGAUGAUCCGCCACACUGGCACUGGAACACGGGCCAGACUCCUACGGGAGGCAGCAGUGAGGAAUAUUGCGCAAUGGGGGCAACCCUGACGCAGCGACGCCGCGUGAGUGAGGAAGGCCUUCGGGUCGUAAAGCUCUGUCAAGAGGAAAGAAGUGUACAAUGGCUAAUACCUGUUGUAUUUGACGGUACCUCUAAAGGAAGCACCGGCUAACUCCGUGCCAGCCGCGGC
rnacentral:rRNA from 1 species